CAAAGACAACGGUCUGAUACGGUUUACACGAGUAUAUAGAUAUUGAAAAAUCUAUAUUCUCUAUACACGUCCGAUAAGUAUUUUUCACAUGACUGUCAAACGCUCUGCAAUGAAUCCGUUCGGCAAUACGUGAAUACGUCUUGGCCCGUUUUUGUUAAUUAAUAUGUUUCAAACUUGACAUUUCAAGGGGAAUAGAAAACAAAUACGAGUCACGAUAAUCGACUUGUACAACGAAGUUUUGCGCGACUUAUAGAGUCGUUUACACGCGAG